UCGACGACGAGACGACGACUUAGCUUGCCCGUCGCCGCCGCGUGCAUCACACGGUCGUUCCCGCCGGUCGGUCGUCCUCGUCUGUCUGCUCGUUGCCGCCGUUCGUUCACGUGCGAUUUUGCGUCUUUCGGCAAUUUUCCGUUCACGGCAUUGUCGUUCGUUUCGUUUAAUUUUUUCGUCCAUCUAUCNUUCUCUUAUUCCUGCCCUCCGGCCGUCGUCGACCGAGUGCGUUUUGGCCGCGUUUUCGCGGUUUUUCUAUUUUUGUUACCGACACUAACGAUAUCGGAUACCUGUACCAAGGUUUAUACCUGGUACGAGUUCGAUCACAGCGCGCCGAUCGCGACAAACACGCGUAAUCGCGGCUGUCGGUGUUAUUAUCGUGUUUGUCGUCGCCCAAUAUCACUCGCAGUGCACACGACCUGUUUAAACAUAAACCCGACCCAACUUGUGAUCGGUCGCGUGUGACGUUUUGUCUCUCUAGACGUGUGGACGCAAAUUNCGNAAGGAAACUAAUCAAAAACCUAAGAAAAAUAAGUUCGAUUCUCACGUGCGUGCACACUCGGAGACUCAGACCGUUCGAUGUCAUAGUAUUAUAAUUCGGUGACCGUCAUCGUCUCAUCUAUAUACUAUUAUUAUAUUCGUGCCCAGAAAGCUUGAGAUAUAUUGUAUGGUGUUNUUAACGUAUACCAAAUUUCAACAUUUAGGUGAACAAUAAACGUUUAUUCAGGUUGUUUCAAGUGGAUUUUUAAAUCGUACAGUUUAAAUCAAUCAACAAGUUGUUGUUGUCGUUAAAACGAAGAAGGAACCAACACGGUAAGUCAAAAC
rnacentral:lncRNA from 1 species